GUUAAGUGUCUCCCAUAAAUGUCACAGCUCAGAAACACAAAACAAUCCCUCUUUGACAUCCAGAAGUGGGAUCCUUUACGAAGACAUUAAAAUGCUUCCCCCACAACCCUGAAGUCACCUGGGAAGCACAAGGAGGUAAAGUACCUAAAGCAGCAACAUCAGACAAGGACAGAGAAACGGCACUGUGGAUAAAGUAUGGAGCCAACUGUAACAGACCUGACAAAUAUUCCUCAAGCCCUCAAAGAGCAUCAGAGAGCACAGCAGGCUUUGUGGGAUAAAGAGAUUGCAGGGCAAAACCAGAGAUUUGAGGUUUUUCAACAUCAGUUUUUUGUUCAGUCAUGCACAGUUGGUCCUCCAGCCACCUCAUCACAAAGACAUUAACAAAUAGAUCAUUAGGAAUAUUUUCUUUGUGUGGACAGCACAGUGUUGUGAUCUGCACUUUGCAUCCCACUGCUUGAUCCUGUAGCCUGCGUUUUUUUAAACUAAACAGAGAUAAAUUUCCAAUGUCAGGUCUUUUUUUAAAAUUCCAAACAAAUGUGUUAAAGGUCAGAGUAAAACAAUCCUCUAACUAAUGAGGACAUUCACACUGAGACACAGCGGUGGGACAUCUUGACCUCUUCUCGUUUUUUUUUUUUUUAACUUCUCCCAGCUGGUUGACUAAUUUGUUUUACAUUUUAAUUAACUCUAAGAAACAGGUCACCUAGCAACACAAAUGAAAGUUAAAAAUUUCAUUUGUCUUAAAUGCUAAUUUUCAUUUUUUUGCAAACGUUGUUCUCAUGUCUCAUAUGGGCUUUACAUUGGAAAAGUGCUGAAUUAAGGAAUUAAAGUGGAUUGUGAAUGUGCUUCUUGAAGUUCCCAAAUGGUGAGUUGAGGGUGGGGACACUUUAAAAAAAAUAAAUAAAUAAAUGUUAUAUAGCUCAUUUCCAUAACAAGAUGCAGUGGAGGGCAGGCCUGCUUAUUUCAGGAAAUGUCCCCAUAGGUUUGGGUUCAGUUCAUGCUAAAAUUGUGCAUGCUUGUGUGGAUGUUUUGUCCUUGUGUCAAAAAACAGGAGUAAUUCUCCUGCACUCAUUAGAAGGAAAUUAAAGGUUGCAAAUUGCUGCACAUGUAGGUCAUGGGAGGUCAAACAAUGAGCUAGCAUGUUCAUGGGAAAGCCAUAAAAAUUGAUUGGAAACUUACGACUGUCCUUGAGCCUCCCCAAUAACACCAUGCCUAGAUUUAAAAGUUGACGAUCAGCUUAAAGAAUAUAGAGCACAAAAAUAAAAAAUAAAAA